rnacentral:rRNA from 1 species
UACGUAGGUGGCGAGCGUUAUCCGGAUUUACUGGGCGUAAAGGGAGCGUAGGCGGCCUGCCAAGUCUGAUGUGAAAUACCGGGGCUCAACCCCGGGGCUGCAUUGGAAACUGGCAGGCUGGAGUGCCGGAGAGGCAGGCGGAAUUCCUAGUGUAGCGGUGAAAUGCGUAGAUAUUAGGAGGAACACCAGUGGCGAAGGCGGCCUGCUGGACGGUGACUGACGCUGAGGCUCGAAAGCGUGGGGAGCAAACA